AGGAUUCCCCUAGUAACGGCGAGUGAAGUGGGAAGAGCUCAACUUUGUAAUCUGGCUGUUUCACAGUCCGAGUUGUAGUCUAAAGAAGCAUGAUCCGCGCCGGCCCUUGGGCAUGUCUGUUGGAACGCAGUGUCAAAGAGGGUGAUAAUCCCGUACAUACCAAGGACGACCGUGUGCAUUGUGGUCUGCUCUCUAAGAGUCGAGUUGUUUGGGAAUGCAGCUCUAAUUGGGUGGUAAAUUCCAUCUAAAGCUAAAUAUCGACGAGAGACCGAUAGCGAACAAGUACAGUAAUGGAAAGAUGAAAAGUAGCCUGCAGAGGCAAUGAAACAAUACGUGAAACCGUUUGUAGGGAAGCGAUGGGAACCUUUUCACGCUGCAGGGGCUCAGCCUUUCUUCGGAUUGGUGUAUUCCCCUGUUUUGCGGACCAGCAUCAGUUUGCUUGGCAGUAUAAGGGUGUUUGGAACGUGGCUCCCACGGGAGUGUUAUAGCCUUUCACUGGAUGCUGCCUCGCAGACUGAGGACUGCAGUGCGCCUUCAUGGCAUAGUCUUCGGGCUACGAGCACUUAGGAUGCUGGGCGAAUGGGUUUCAACGACCCGUCUUGAAACACGGACCAAGGAGUCUAACAUGCCUGCGAGUGUUUGAGUGUCAAACUCGAGCGCGUAAUGAAAGUGAACGAAGGUGGGAUGUGUAAAAACUGCACCAUCGACCGGUCUUGAAGUUUACGGAUGGAUCUGAGUAAGAGCAUGUAUGUUGGGACCCGAAAGAUGGUGAACUAUGCCUGAAUAGGGUGAAGUCAGGUGAAAACCUGAUGGAGGCUCGUAGCGGUUCUGACGUGCAAAUCGAUCGUCAAAUUUGGGUAUAGGGG
rnacentral:rRNA from 1 species